UACGUAGGGGGCUAGCGUUGUCCGGAAUCAUUGGGCGUAAAGAGCGUGUAGGCGGCUUGGUAAGUCCGCUGUGAAAGUCCAGGGCUCAACCCUGGAAAGCCGGUGGAAACUGUCGAGCUAGAGUCCGGAAGAGGCGAGUGGAAUUCCUGGUGUAGCGGUGAAAUGCGCAGAUAUCAGGAGGAACACCAAUGGCGAAGGCAGCUCGCUGGGACGGUACUGACGCUGAGACGCGAAAGCGUGGGGAGCAAACAGG
rnacentral:rRNA from 1 species